UUCCUGUAACCCUAGGAUUGCACAGUGGC
rnacentral:piRNA from 1 species